AUAUUCUUUAUCGUUAGAGUCUCGCUGUAACAUUCUCGAAGUCGCCAGCAAAGAGCUUACCACAGGUUCAUACGACAGCCAUAGCAUCUCUGUCAGCAUCAAUGGCGUCUCGAGUGAUUUGAUUACUGAAAUCGAGUUGCAGAAACUCUUUGUUUGUCUCCAAUCACGUCUUAUAGCCUUCUCUUCUAAUAAACUGAAACAUUCCGAGUUACUCAUCGCAUUUAUCACCUUAUUAACUCCAUAGCCGACGUAAACCACGAUCUGACCUUAAUUGUGAGUUAUCCUUCUGAAAAGGGGUUUAUUCUACACCUAUAAAAGCUGGCCGAUGCUCCUCCACUGUCCAAGUGCUGUUACUCAGGUUCUGGAUAGCCAGAAAUGUCCGAGAGGAGGAGAAUUGAUGUCUCUUGAUAUGUUCUUACUGGAUUCAUAGGUGACCCUUAUGCAAGCAACCGUGAAUGUGAGCCGGCUAGCAACUUACAGGCCUUAUCUCCAGGCCGGUUCAAUGUAUUCUGUCACCGGUUUUGAUGUAACUCGGUGUAAUCAAAACUUCAGGCUCUCGAACUCCUCUCUGCUGAUUCGAUUCAGUGACGCUACCGCUCUUGCUGAGUUAACUGAACCAGCUUUUCCAAUACCUAAAGAAUGUUUCAGGUUCCGUAAUCACAGAGGGAUACUUAGUCUAGCCAACAGCAAUACCCAACUUCCAGGUAUUCCUCCUAUAAUAUGUUCAUAGGUAUAGCUGGAUAAGAUAUUAAUAAUAAUCCUGAGCCAGAUGUUAUUGGUGAGAUAACUGCUGUUAAGAGAAAGUUCUUUUUCGCUUGAAUGGCUAACCUAUCUAUCUUAAUCGCUGGAGGCUGGCUGGAGAUGGGUUAGAUUCACCGGAGAUGGGUUCUUCUUCUGUUUUGGAGAGUAGAAUCUGAGGAUUCAAAAGUGUUAAAGCUUUGGAGACUGGAGUAAGCAAGCAACUCCAUCGGCUUGAGAGGCAUGGGCCGGUAAACAAGGUCUGUUUUGCAUGUUGGAACCAUGGCUCUUUCCAUUUUAGACAGAGAUGAAUGUAAUGGUUAAUCUUCAAGAGUAUAGGAGUUUUAAACACUGCACAAAAGAGGGAGUUUUAAACACUGUUGUAGACUUUAGCUGCUGCUCUACUACCACUUUUUAACAGUAUUCUACCUCUUUCGGUCAUGCUAAUUAUUGCUUCUGAUUC